rnacentral:rRNA from 1 species
CGACGUGCCUAAGGUAUGCAAGUCGAAUGCCGAUUUAUCGGCAUGGCAGACGGCUGAGUAAUACAUGGGAAUCUACCUCAAACUCGAGAAUAGCCCAUCGAAAGGUGGUGUAAUACUCGAUAGUUCCGUUUACGGUAAAGCUCCGGCGGUUUGAGAUGAGCCCAUGUCCUAUCAGGUUGUUGGUAGGGUAAUUGCCUACCAAGCCUAUGACGGGUAGCUGGUUUGAGAGGAUGAUCAGCCAGACUGGGACUGCGAUACGGCCCAGACUCCUACGGGAGGCAGCAACUAGGAAUCAUGCGCAAUGGACGAAAGUCUGACGCUGCGACGUCGCGUGAGGGAUGAAGGUCUUCGGAUCGUAAACCUCUUUUAUCUGGGAACAAGUUCUGAGUGUACCAGAUGAAUAAGUGCCUGCCAACCACGUGCCAGAAGCAUCGGUAAUGCGUGGGGCACGAGCGUUAUCCGGAUUUACUGGGCGUAAAGAGAUGCGUAGGCGCCUUUUUAAGUCACUUGUAUAAUCUCCCCGCUCAACGGGGAAACUGCAAGUGAUACUGAAUUGGUUGAGUCAAGUAGAGGAGAGGGGAAUUCCUGGUGGAGCGGUUAAAUGCGUUGAUAUCAGGAGGAAUACCAAGUGCGAAGGCACCUCUCUGGACUUGUACUGACGCUAAGGCUCGAAAGUGUGGGGAGCAAAACGGAUUAGAUACCCGUGUAGUCCACACUGUAAACGAUCCCUGCUAGAUGUUUG